rnacentral:tRNA from 1 species
UCCCUUGUGGCUCAGCUGGUAGAGCAUGGUGCUUGCGACGUCAGGGUUGUGGGUUUGAUUCCCACAGGGGAC